rnacentral:rRNA from 1 species
UGGAGAGUUUGAUCCUGGCUCAGGAUGAACGCUGGCGGCGUGCCUAAUACAUGCAAGUCGAACGCACAGCGAAAGGUGCUUGCACCUUUCAAGUGAGUGGCGAACGGGUGAGUAACACGUGGACAACCUGCCUCAAGGCUGGGGAUAACAUUUGGAAACAGAUGCUAAUACCGAAUAAAACUCAGUGUCGCAUGACACAAAGUUAAAAGGCGCUUUGGCGUCACCUAGAGAUGGAUCCGCGGUGCAUUAGUUAGUUGGUGGGGUAAAGGCCUACCAAGACAAUGAUGCAUAGCCGAGUUGAGAGACUGAUCGGCCACAUUGGGACUGAGACACGGCCCAAACUCCUACGGGAGGCUGCAGUAGGGAAUCUUCCACAAUGGGCGAAAGCCUGAUGGAGCAACGCCGCGUGUGUGAUGAAGGCUUUCGGGUCGUAAAGCACUGUUGUAUGGGAAGAACAGCUAGAAUAGGGAAUGAUUUUAGUUUGACGGUACCAUACCAGAAAGGGACGGCUAAAUACGUGCCAGCAGCCGCGGUA